GAACUUUCCAGAGAUGGAUUGGUGCCUUCGGGAACUUAGAUACAGGUGCUGCAUGGCUGUCGUCAGCUCGUGUCGUGAGAUGUUGGUUAAGUUCCGCAACGAGCGCAACCCUUUUCCUUAUUUGCCAGCGGGUCAUGCCGGGAACUUUAAGGAUACUGCCAGUGACAAACUGGAGGAAGGCGGGGACGACGUCAAGUCAUCAUGGCCCUUACGGCCAGGGCUACACACGUGCUACAAUGGUCGGUACAAAGAGUUGCUACCUCGCGAGAGGAUGCUAAUCUCAAAAAGCCGAUCGUAGUCCGGAUCGCAGUCUGCAACUCGACUGCGUGAAGUCGGAAUCGCUAGUAAUCGCGGAUCAGAAUGCCGCGGUGAAUACGUUCCCGGGCCUUGUACACACCGCCCGUCACACCAUGGGAGUUUGUUGCACCAGAAGUAGGUAGUCUAACCGCAAGGAGGACGCUUACCACGGUGUGGCCGAUGACUGGGGUGGAAGUCGUAACAAGGUAAGCGUAGAUGA
rnacentral:rRNA from 1 species